rnacentral:rRNA from 1 species
UCGCCCGAGUACCCAUUGGAGGGCAAGUCUGGUGCCAGCAGCCGCGGUAAUUCCAGCUCCAAUAGCGUAUAUUAAACUUGUUGCAGUUAAAAAGCUCGUAGUUUUACUUUUCGUCCUCGCUAUUGUGCUUUCACUAGGCGGGACACCUCGUUACUUUGAGAAAAUUAGAGUGUUUCAAGCAGGUUUUGCCUGUAUAAUUGAGCAUGGAAUAACCUUGUAUGACCCUGUCGUACCGUUGGUUGCCUUGGGUAAUGGUUAAUAGGAACGGUUGGGGGCAUUCGUACUCGACUGUCAGAGGUGAAAUUCUUAGAUUUGUCGAUGACGCACGAGUGCGAAAGCAUUUGCCAAGGACGUUUCCAUUAAUCAAGAACGAAAGUUAGGGGAUCGAAGACGAUCAGAUACCGUCGUAGUCCUAACCAUAAACUAUGCCGACUAGGGAUUGGUGGUCGUCGUUUUCGACUCCGUCAGCACCUUGAGAGAAAUCAAAGUCUUUGGGUUCUGGGG